CAAUAGCGUAUAUUUAAGUUGUUGCAGUUAAAAAGCUCGUAGUUGGAUUUCGGGUGGGACGCAGCGGUCUCGCAUUGCGUUUGUACUGCUGCAGCCCUCCUUCUUGCCGGGGGCGGCCUCUCGGACUUCACUGUCUGGGGGUCAGAAUCGGCGAUGUUACUUUGAGUAAAUUAGAGUGUUCAAAGCAAGCUUACGCUCUGAAUAUAAUAGCAUGGGAUAACACGGCAGGACUCUGGCCUAUCGUGUUGGUCUAUAGGACCAGAGUAAUGAUUAAGAGGGACAGUCGGGGGCAUUCGUAUUCCGUUGUCAGAGGUGAAAUUCUUGGAUUUACGGAAGACGAACAUCUGCGAAAGCAUUUGCCAAGGAUGUUUUCAUUG
rnacentral:rRNA from 1 species